rnacentral:lncRNA from 1 species
UCAUGGAGUAUCUAUUAGUAGAACGAAUUCAAUAUACUUGAUGCAAAAAAAAAAAGAAUUCGAUGUACAAUUCCUACAUAUUCACCAGUAUAACUAAGGUAUACAGAUUUAAACGAAGAACAUGCAUGAACGAAUGAAAUACUACUUGUCUACACGACCAUUUUCACAAGCUAUACAGUCCAUAUGUAGGUAUAGAGGUUUCUUGGACCACAGAAUAUCGUACUUGACAGAUAACUAGGACAAACUGAUAUUUAUUCACAUGAUUCUUCUUCCGCACGCAGGCCAUUCACCCCCUAGAUAUGCCCUUGCCUGAAAAGUCAAAUAACGAAAUUCUUAAUCGGAAUGGAUGCACGUCAGUAUUUUCGCAUCACAUCAUGCAAAACACUAGUAGGAGCACGAACUGUAGCUAAACAUACCUUUUUGUCCGGUCGUUUUACCAUCGUCGGCUUUGUACGGCGUUCUCGAUGCGUAAGAGUUGUUGCCGUUGCUGGUGCCAGGGGUCGACGUCGACGACGCUUUACCUGCUUUAUGAAGCACACGAAUGCAUGCAAAAGGCGUCAAGAAAGUGCAAGAAAGCAUUAGAGACCAUGACCGUCGAAUAUAUAGAAAGGUAUACUACCAGAAAGGCGAGGAUCUGAUAAAGGGAGAGCUAUCCAUGCAUGCACAUACAUAUGCUCAGGCGUUAAUGGGAUGAGUGACACUCACUAACCUGUAGCAGGCGCCGGCGCCUUUGGGCCAGCCUCCGCCGGAGCAUAUGGACGUCGAUCAUUAUACUGGUCGGUAGACCCUGGCAGUUGAGGCACAGAUCUACUUGGUCCUGCAUAUAUGGAUGUAUGGAGAAAAUAAUAGCAUAUUAGAGUUGAUGCUGAUCGUGCAUGUGUAUGCAAUGGACGAAUUGGAUAUGUGGAUGCUGGCUCACCCUUCGCCGCCAUGCUCACUUGCUCAGUACGGGGGGCCUUUGUGGCUGCUUGUCUUCUCUUCAGCUAGCUAGCUUUGGGAGAGUUUGUUGCUA